CGGGUGAGUAACGCGUGGAUAACCUGCCUCACACUGGGGGAUAACAGUUAGAAAUGACUGCUAAUACCGCAUGAGCGCACAGUACCGCAUGGUACGGUGUGAAAAACUCCGGUGGUGUGAGAUGGAUCCGCGUCUGAUUAGCCAGUUGGCGGGGUAACGGCCCACCAAAGCGACGAUCAGUAGCCGACCUGAGAGGGUGACCGACCACAUUGGGACUGAGACACGGCCCAA
rnacentral:rRNA from 1 species